GGUGAACUGAUUUCCGCCCUCUCUCUCUACUGCGCCAAAUAGGGUUGAAACUAUGAAAGGGAAACAAAUUGCAGUGAGGCCCUCACCGGCGCCGCCGUCCUCGGGCUCUGGAGCUCGUCCGCCCGCCGGCCUCCUGCGCCUCGCUUACCGAUGCUGGUGCUCCUCGAUGCGGUGAUGAUGCUGGUGCUCCUCCGGAUGUUGCCCCAGGUCGCGGCAGUACGGUGCACUGCGUUCGGCCUCGGGUACAAAUUGCUAUGGACUGCAAUUCCACGAUUGAGUUCUACUAGGCUCCCUUGCUGAAUCAAGUUCUGAUGACGCGUUGUGGACUGUGUUUUUUUCCUUGAAGUUAUCUGAAUUUUGAAGGGCACAUCAAUGUACAUCACGUUUAUAUAUUUUGCGUCUGGAUUCGAUUCUCAUAUUUUUGCUCUUUUGUGGUAGUUAUAUAUUCUUUGAAAUGAAAAAUCUUCGGAGGGUGUGAAAAAAUCAACAUGCAGAGAUCAUGUUUCGUUAAACAUUGCAUCUUGUUAGAACAAACAUGAAAACAGAGAAUAUAAUCAAGUAAACAUUGCAGAGAUCAUGUUUCGUUAAACAUUGCAUCUUUUGCUUCUUUUGACUGCCAUUUCUUAAUAUUUGCAAGCAAGAUGUGGUUGGUAGAUUCCAUAUUGUAGAUUGUCCCUUGGAUAGAUUGUAUUGGUUGUGUUAAUUAUGAGCUGUGGUUCAUAGUUACUGUUCUAUGGGUUCAUCUUUCCUGUCUAUAUAUCAUCUUGUGCCCAUUUAAGCCUCUGAAUUGUCUACUUCGCCACUUGUUUUGUUGUCCUAAGUUGCAUCUUACACAACAACACUACAAUUGGAUUUUUCAUGAUUUAGAAUCCUCACCGCUCACCAUUGCCAUGGUAAUGCUAUUGCAGGAUGUUGGCCAGGCUGCUCUUUCUGACAGCCGCUGAAACUGCCGCUGCUGCAUCGUCCUUCUAUCAGCCACGUGAUCUUUUCAAUGAAGAAACAUGGAAGAAGGUAACCAGCCAAAUAUUGAAAAUUGGAGUGCUACCAUUUGACCCAGCUCUAGCAAUUGUGGUAGACUCCGGUGAGCACAGGAGGAGCACGGUGAGCUGCCUGUCGAGGUGCACAAUGAGGUGCUGAGCAGCGGCGAGCUGCGGAGGAUCAUAUAGAGCUGCUGAGGAGGAUUGGGACACGAGCACGGUGAUAUCGUUGCCAGAAUUUUGGAUCUUGAAACUAGCUAAAUUUGUAACGGGUAGAAUACAUGUCGGUUUAUUUGUAAUUUGUAAAAUGAAUAGAGCAUGUACAGCUCUUUUCGGGACGGAGGGAGUAAUAUGUUUUAUUUCAAUAAUUUUACAACUA